AUGUCACAUUCUACAGCAUACAGGGGGAGGAAGCACUACACAAGUCAAAAUAUACUUGCUGCUGUUGACUUUGAUCUGGAGUUCACAUAUGUGCUGGCUGGCUGGGAGGGGUCGGCGCAUGAUGGUAACAUUCUCAGUGACAACAUGAGUCGACCUGAUGGGAUCAACAUCCCCGACGACAAGUUCUACCUUGGAGAUGUUGACUAUGCAUGUCGGCUGGGUAUUCUUCCACCCUCCAGGAAAACCAGAUACCAUCUCAAGGAGUUCUGUGGUAGGAACUAUCCUAGGAGUGCACAGGAGCUGUUUAAUCUCAGACACUCCAGUCUUAGAGUAACUGUUGAGAGGACAUUUGGAGAUCUGAAGAAUAGGUUUAAAAUCAUGGAUCAAAAGCCAUUCCACCCAUACUCCACUCAGGUUAAGCUUGUUCUUGCUUUGUUGCAUUCUGCAUAA
rnacentral:rRNA from 1 species